rnacentral:tRNA from 1 species
CAAAUUGGAGCUUGUUAAAGCGUUUUAUUUACAUUAAGAAGUUUGGUUGGUAGUUCAAUCUAAUUUGA